rnacentral:rRNA from 1 species
GACGAACGCUGGCGGCGUGCUUAACACAUGCAAGUCGAGCGAGAAAGCUCCUUCGGGAGUGAGUACAGCGGCGAACGGGUGAGUAACACGUGGGCAACCUGCCCUAGGGAGCGGGACAACCCGAGGAAACUCGGGCUAAUACCGCAUGAUUCGUCGUGCCUCAAGGCGCGACGGGAAAUGGUAGCUUCGGCCUCCGCCCUGGGAUGGGCCCGCGCCGCAUUAGCUUGUUGGUGAGGAACGGCUCACCAAGGCAACGAUGCGUAGCUGGUCUGAGAGGACGAUCAGCCACACUGGGACUGAGACACGGCCCAGACUCCUACGGGAGGCAGCAGUGGGAAUCUUGCGCAAUGGGCGGAAGCCUGACGCAGCAACGCCGCGUGAGGGAAGACGGCCU